CGAACGCUGGCGGCGCGCCUAACACAUGCAAGUCGAACGAGAGAUGAGGAGCUUGCUCUUCAAAUCGAGUGGCGAACGGUGAGUAACGCGUAGACAACCUGCCGCAAAGAUGGGGACAACAGUCCGAAAGGACUGCUAAUACCGAAUGUUGUAUCUCCUCCGCAUGGAAGAGAUAUUAAAGAUGGCCUCUACUUGUAAGCUAUCGCUUUGCGAUGGGUCUGCGUCUGAUUAGCUAGUUGGUGGGGCAACGGCCUACCAAGGCGACGAUCAGUAGCCGGUCUGAGAGGAUGAACGGCCACAUUGGAACUGAGACACGGCCCAGACUCCUACGGGAGACAGCAGUUAGGAAUAUUCGUCAAUGGGGGAAACCCUGAACGAGCAAUGCCGCGUGAAUGAAGAAGGCCCUAUGGGUUGUAAAAUUCUGUUGUAUGGAAAGAAAUGUAAAGUUAGGAAAUGAACUUUACUUGACGGUACCAUUCAAGAAAGCCACGGCUAACUACGUG
rnacentral:rRNA from 1 species